rfam:Schistosoma rodhaini strain Burundi genome assembly, scaffold: SROB_scaffold0001352
AUCCGAAUGACGGGUCCCAAAUAAGACGAAACGCAUGUCCCGAAU